rnacentral:SRP_RNA from 1 species
GCUGGGCGUGGUGGCGGGCACCUGUAAUCCCAGCUACUCAGGAGGCUGAGGCAGGAGAAUCGCUUGAACCCAGGAGGUGGAGGUUGCAGUGAGCCGAGAUCACGCCAUUGCACUCCAGCCUGGGUGACAGAGCGAGACUCUGUCUCAA